ensembl:lncRNA
AUAAUUAAGACACUGUUUAUAGGAGCACUGAACUACAGGAGUAAUGUUACCUGCACAAGAGCUACAAAUUUGUCCAUUUUAAAAGGAACAUAUUUAUUGUACUUCAUCUGUUACUCUAAUUACCAACCAUAUGGCUGAAGUUGGAACACACUUGGUUAAUGACAGAACUGUAAAGAGAUACAUUUCUUAUUCCAGAGUCUGGAUGUAUAGCUCAUUCCUAAGGAUAAAGCCAAGUGUUGCUUUCACAUCCAGGCAUAAUGUCUUUGAAAUAUCUCUUUAAUUGUGAUUGCAAACUUUUAUCUAGCCCUGUGAAUUAUACACAAAUGGGAUGGGAUACAAUGCUUGUGGUAAUCCAUGCUAUCACGCUUUACUCAAAAUAGGAUAUCAAAGUAAGAGUAAGCAUUCAUGCUAUACUCAUUAAGCAGUUUCACUGGAUAAGAAAAAACUCAGGUCAGUUGUUCACCCCUGCUCCUCAAAUAGGAGAUACAUUAUUAACAGCGUCAUCAAAAACACUGUCUUCAGAUACUAGGAGAGAGACUGAGCACACAGCCUGAAUUUAUUCCUUUAUCAAAAUAGAAAGAGCUUCAGAGAUUUUCCAUUAUACGCAACAUGGAGAAUAGCACUGGCAUCAGUAAUCAUUAGAAGAGAAGCGAACUAGGUCUUAAAUAUUAUCUAUUCUUUAUGUUGGUUGUAUAUGACAAUAAAUGACAUUUCACUGAAUGACUUGUGUUUCUUUUCUAUGCCUACAUUUGGACUAUUUCAAUGCACUAUUAUAUUUUCUUACAUAAUUCAAUGUACUUAAAAAAAAACCUCAUAACUUUCUAAAUGUUUAAAGUUACAGACAAGUUAAAAAACAAUAAUUUUAAUACAUAUAUGCCUGGAAAGGCACUUGCAGUGUUGACCUUAUCAGAUUUCAAUCUAUCCCAUUGUUCUGCUGAUCUAUUUCUUUCAUCUCUUAUUCAACAACAUAACAUCCAGCUUUUCUUGUAUAUAAUAAUGAAACAUUAAAACGUUGAGAUAUGAUGUACAUCUACUGCCAAGUGCACUAUAUCAAGAAACAGUAUCUAGUAUGUGCUUGAUUACUGUAGAAAGUGCACCAGUUUGCUUAUGAAUAUUUAUGUAGUAUUGAAUAGCUGGACCAGGACAGAUCAAGAUUUUCAUUACUAUUUUUCCUGCUGCUUUGAUACUGCAGCAAAGGACAAGAGCACUAUUCCUAUCAGCUGUGCAACACUGGAUAUUGCACAAAACCAACGUAACAAAGGAUGUUUUUUCAACAAUCUUGAUACCAACCGACAUGAGAAAAUCCCACAUGAAGGUUGACAACCAGAAGACAAAAGCUACUUGUUCAAAAUUACUGCAGUAGUACAAACAACAUUACAGAUGGCAGAAGACAAUCUGUUACCUUCUCCACAUAAAAGCUAAGAAAGGCAGAGACAACAGCACUUGAAAGUACUUAAGAACAAACAGAUGACCAAUGAAACCGGAACACGAACAAGUGGAAAAUACAAGAAGGAAGUUGCAUCAACAGAUCUUCAGGCAGAAUACUGCUUAAGAUGCAGAAGACAUAACACCAGCUUCUAUUUGGCAUAGGAGACAGAGCAAAUCACCAAAGCAGGUCAAUCAAGGUAU